rnacentral:rRNA from 1 species
UACGUAGGGGGGCUAGCGUUGUCCGGAAUCAUUGGGCGUAAAGAGCGCGUAGGCGGCUAGAUAAGUCCGGUGUGAAAGUCACAGGCUCAACCUGUGAAUGCCGCUGGAAACUGUCUGGCUAGAGUCCGGAAGGGGCGAGUGGAAUUCCUGGUGUAGCGGUGAAAUGCGCAGAUAUCAGGAGGAACACCCGUGGCGAAGGCGGCUCUCUGGGACGGUACUGACGCUGAGACGCGAAAAGCGUGGGGGAGCGAACAGG